AGAUAAAAAAUUUACUUUUGAAUUUGUGAUUAAAUUUAUUUAAUAAAAAUAAUUUUAAUAAUUUAUAUUUUUAGUAUAGUUUAUUGAAAAAAUUUAUUUAGUUAUAGUUUAUUUGUAUUGUAAAAGAUUAUUGAAAUAUAAUUUUAUUUUUUAAAAGUAUAAUUUAUUUUUAGUACCUUGUGUAUCAGGGUUUAUUAAAUAAAGGUUAUAAAUUAUAAUUUUCUCGAAUUUAAGAGAGCUAAUAAAUUAAUUUUUUUUAUUGUGAAAAAAAUAUUUAUAAUAAUUUAUUGGUAAUGAAAUGUUAUUCGUUCUUAAAUAUAUCUAGUUUAUUUAGAAAUGAAUUUAAUUCAGAUAUUAUUAUUUUAAUGAUUUAAUUUUUUAAAUUAUUAGAGGUUUUAAUAUUAAUAAUUAAAGGGAUUAGCUUUUAAUUAAAAAUUUAAAAAUUAUAAAAAUAUUUUUAUGAAAUGUAAGUUUAGAAAUAUCUAUCAAUAGUAAUUUGUUAUAAUUAAUUUAUUUAUUAAUAUUAUUUUAUAUAAUUUUAAGUUUUUUAUAAAUAAUUAAUUUUUAAUUUUAAAAAUUUAGUUAUAAUGAUAAAAUUAGUAUAUAUUUAAGUUUGUUUAAAUAAUAAUAUUUAAAAGAUUAUUUAAAGGAAUUCGGCAAAAAUUUUACUCGCCUGUUUAACAAAAACAUGUCCUUUUGAAUUUAUUUAAGGUCUAGUCUGCCCACUGAAUUAUAUUUUAAAUGGCCGCAGUAUUUUGACUGUGCAAAGGUAGCAUAAUCAUUAGUUUUUUAAUUAAAAGCUUGUAUGAAAGGCUGGACGAGGUAAAAUCUGUCUCUAUUUAAAUUAUAAUAGAAUUUAACUUUUGAGUUAAAAGGCUCAAAUUUAAUUAAAAGACGAGAAGACCCUAUAGAGCUUUAUAAUUUAUUUAAUAGAAUUAAUUUAGAAAUAUUUAUAUUUUUUUAAAUAAAAUUAUUUUAUUGGGGUAAUAGAAAGAUUAAAUUAAUUCUUUUUUUUUAUAAACAUUGAUUUAUGAAUUUUAAUGAUCCAGUUUUAUUGAUUAUAAGAUUAAGUUACCUUAGGGAUAACAGCGUAAUUUUUUUAGAGAGUUCUUAUCGAUAAAAAAGUUUGCGACCUCGAUGUUGGAUUAAAGAUUAUUUUAGGUGUAGAAGCUUAGAAUUUUGGUCUGUUCGACCAUUAAAUCUUUACAUGAUCUGAGUUCAGACCGGCGUAAGCCAGGUCGGUUUCUAUCUUUAAUAAUAUAAAAUAUUUUAGUACGAAAGGACCAAAUAUUUAAUAUAUUUAUAUUUUAUUAAUUGAAUAUCAUUAAAAUU
rnacentral:rRNA from 1 species